rnacentral:rRNA from 1 species
CCUACGGGAGGCAGCAGUGGGGAAUAUUGCACAAUGGGGGAAACCCUGAUGCAGCGACGCCGCGUGAGUGAAGAAGUAUUUCGGUAUGUAAAGCUCUAUCAGCAGGGAAGAAAAAGACGGUACCUGACUAAGAAGCCCCGGCUAACUACGUGCCAGCAGCCGCGGUAAUACGUAGGGGGCAAGCGUUAUCCGGAUUUACUGGGUGUAAAGGGAGCGUAGACGGCGAAGAAAGUCUGAAGUGAAAGCCCGCGGCUUAACCGCGGAACUGCUUUGGAAACUGUGUAGCUGGAGUACAGGAGAGGUAAGCGGAAUUCCUAGUGUAGCGGUGAAAUGCGUAGAUAUUAGGAGGAACACCAGUGGCGAAGGCGGCUUACUGGACGGUAACUGACGUUGAGGCUCGAAAGCGUGGGGAGCAAACAGGAUUAGAUACCCUAGUAGUC